GGGGCUGUAGCUCAGUGGUAGAGCACUUGCCUAACAUACAUGAGGCACUGGGUUCAAUCCUUAGCACCA
rnacentral:tRNA from 1 species